CCUACGGGGGGCAGCAGUGGGGGAUAUUGCACAAUGGGGGAAACCCUGAUGCAGCAACGCCGCGUGAGUGAAGAAGUAUUUCGGUAUGUAAAGCUCUAUCAGCAGGGAAGAGAAUGACGGUACCUGACUAAGAAGCCCCGGCUAACUACGUGCCAGCAGCCGCGGUAAUACGUAGGGGGCGAGCGUUAUCCGGAUUUACUGGGUGUAAAGGGAGCGUAGACGGCUGGUCAAGUCUGAAGUGAAAGCCCUGGGCUUAACCCCGGAACGGCUUUGGAAACUGAGCAGCUAGAGUGCUGGAGAGGUAAGCGGAAUUCCUAGUGUAGCGGUGAAAUGCGUAGAUAUUAGGAGGAACACCAGUGGCGAAGGCGGCUUACUGGACAGUAACUGACGUUGAGGCUCGAAAGCGUGGGGAGCGAACAGGAUUAGAUACCCUUGUAGUC
rnacentral:rRNA from 1 species